rnacentral:rRNA from 1 species
AUUGAACGCUGGCGGCAGGCUUAACACAUGCAAGUCGAGCGAGCGGCGGACGGGUGAGUAAUGUCUGGGAAACUGCCUGAUGGAGGGGGAUAACUACUGGAAACGGUAGCUAAUACCGCAUACCAUCAGAUGUGCCCCGAUGGGAUGAGCUAGUAGCUGGGGUAAUGGCUCACCUAGGCGACGAUCCCGAGCUGGUCUGAGAGGAUGACCAGCCACACUGGAACUGCGACACGGUCCAGACUCCUACGGGAGGCAGCGGUGGGGAAUAUUGCACAAUGCGCGCAAGCCUGAUGCAGCCAAGCCGCGUGUGGGAAGAAGGCCGUCGAGUUGUAAAGCACUGUCAGCGAGGGGGCGUUACUCGCAGAGGAAGCACCGGCUAACUCCGUGCCAGCAGCCGCGGUAAUAC